rnacentral:misc_RNA from 1 species
AAAUGUUGUUUGUUUAUAUGAGGUCUCUCUCUCUCUCAAAAUUUCCUUUACUAUUUACCCUAUUCUGUAUCACUUGCAAUAAGUAAAUUCUUUUAAUUAUGGCUUUUAAAUCAAAAGGUACUUUUGGUUUUCUCUUAGAUCUUUCUCUGCCAUAUGUAGGCGACGUCAGAUUUCUUGGUUCUUUUCAUGCAUGCAUUUUGCUAGAAACUAUUGAUGGUAAUUUUGCUAAGAUAUUCACUGCACCUAUUUUCCAUGCAAAUGAAAUUUGGCAUCUCCUUUUGGACUGGAGGAAGACUUAUUGACAUAGAUAUAGUGAUUCAAUAGAACAUGCUUCCAAGUUGAUAUUCUUAAAUGACACUGAGAAAUUCCUGGGACAAAAUUGUGAAGUUUUAUUUGAUGAUAUGAUCUUUUUGCUAAUUUUGGUCCCAAUAUAAAAGAUCGUAUUUUAACAUUGUUAGCAAUUUUCAUUUGCAGUUUGGGUUAAAUAUAGGUUCUUUGUUAGUUAAAGUACUAUUUUGGCAUUUAUAUUGCUGUGUGCUUAAAAAUAAUUAAGAUUGGUCUUUCUAAAAUUAGAACUUGAAGAAAUCUGAGCAAAGAUUUAAAAUUCAUUUACUUGGUGUAAGAUUUAUCAAACUGUUACUUUUCUUUUCCAGGUGAUGGGAAGCAAGACAAAGA